rnacentral:rRNA from 1 species
GACGAACGCUGGCGGCGUGCUUAACACAUGCAAGUCGAACGGUAAGGCCCUUUCGGGGGUCCACGAGUGGCGAACGGGUGCGUAACACGUGGGUGAUCUGCCCUGCACUUUAGGAUAAGCCUGGGAAACUGGGUCUAAUACCGGAUAGGACUACGCGAUGCAUGUCGUGUGGUGGAAAGCUUUUGCGGUGUGGGAUGGGCCCGCGGCCUAUCAGCUUGUUGGUGGGGUGAUGGCCUACCAAGGCGACGACGGGUAGCCGGCCUGAGAGGGUGUCCGGCCACACUGGGACUGAGAUACGGCCCAGACGCCUACGGGAGGCAGCAGUGGGGAAUAUUGCACAAUGGGCGCAAGCCUGAUGCAGCGACGCCGCGUGGGGGAUGACGGCCUUCGGGUUGUAAACCCCUUUCAGCACAGACGAAGCGUAAGUGACGGUAUGUGCAGAAGAAGCACCGGCCAACUACGUG